rnacentral:rRNA from 1 species
CCCUUAGAUGCUCUGGGCCGCACGCGCGCUACACUGGUCGAUGCAACGAGUUUCUUUCCUUGGCCGACAGGCCUGGGCAAUCUUUGAACAUCGAUCGUGAUCGGGAUAGAUUCUUGUAAUUUUUGAUCUUAAACGAGGAAUUCCAAGUAAACGCAAGUCAUCAGCUUGCAUUGAUUACGUCCCUGCCCUUUGUACACACCGCCCGUCGCACCUACCGAUUGAAUGGUCCGGUGAAAUCUCCGGACUGGCGUGAGUCGGAGCAAUCUGACAAACGCCGGAAAGUUGAUUAAACCUUACCAUUUAGAGGAAGGUGAAGUCGUAACA